rnacentral:lncRNA from 1 species
GUCCCUCAGAUGCAGUGCAAGAGGGGCAUAUGCCUCGGAGACUAUGUUCCCCAAGCAGCUUUGUGAGCCUUGGGAGACCAGCUCAGGAUGAAGCCUUGUCUUCUGUUAUCCAUUGCUGCCUAUCUACAGGUAAUAUUCCAACAUUGCCACAAGGUUCGAGGGUGACACAUCUCACACAUGUACGUGAACAACCAAUCAUCAUGCUCAUGAACUACAAAAGGAUCAGGUAUCUUUUUUAUAUAAUUAUUUCUUCUCCUUAGGUUAGAUACCUAGUAGUGGGAUUGCUGGAUCAAAUAGUAGUUCUA